rnacentral:rRNA from 1 species
GGUCAAGCUAGUAAGGGCAAAGGGUGGAUGCCUUGGCACCAGGAGCCGAUGAAGGACGUGGUAAGCUGCGAAAAGCUACGAGGAGCCGCAAGCAGGCAUUGAUUCGUAGAUAUCCGAAUGGGGAAACCCACUUGAAAUAAUAUUCAAGUAUCUGCUAGUGAAAACAUAGCUAGUAGAAGGGAGACCAGGGGAACUGAAACAUCUAAGUACCCUGAGGAGUAUAAAGAAAAAUCGAUUCCCCAAG